CACUACUGCGUAGAAUUUACGGAAUUUACGGAGGGGGGGGGGGGCGAUUCCUAUGAAACUGACCUUAAAUAUAGAACACCCUAGUUCUGGAGAUGCUGGUGAAUUUGUAAUGGGAUUGUAUUGGAAAGGUGGAGGUUCAUAUAAUAAACAGGGAACCUUUUAUUUACAGGACAUGUAUCAAUCACCUGAGUGGGUAGAUUACACACACAUGACUAUUAGCCCCUCAAACCACACAUUAAG